rnacentral:misc_RNA from 1 species
GCACACAACGGAUCACACAGUAACACCAGGUGCACGCACUCAUAGCUCCACAUGUCCGCAGCGGCGGCUGAUUACCCUUUGCGACGACGAGGCGAUGUGGAGGACGACUUCGAUGAGGAAGAGCACCGUCGGCUGACAGAGUCAAGCAUCAACGCUUUUCUGGAGGAGGAGGGCGUGCCGGUGAGCAGCAGCGUCACGGUGGAGGACAUCACAUCGGCGCUUGUGGCGCUGGGCAACUCGGUAGCAACGGCAGCAGCUAGCUUUGUGGUCAAGGUUGCACUGCUUCGACUGGAUUGCUUGGCAGCCGUGGAGGGAGAGCUGCGCAAAGACGUGGCGUGCGCCAGCUCAUCGAAAGUGCGUGUCACUGCUGACAAGUCGCCGCCGCGGCGGUCAUCACGUGCCAGUGCCUUUGGGUGGCUGCGUCACCUCUACAAGGAGGAGAAGGGCGUAUGUGGCUUCUUGCGUGGCGGUCAAGCGGAGUUCGGCUUUGUGCUGGCGUCCUUCGUCGAGGAGGCGCUGCUUUUUGCAGCCAUGCGCAGCCUUAUGGAUCGCCUUGGCUCGCUGUUGCCCAGCCAAAGCAGCCGAGCUGGUGGUGCGGCGGCGUUGUGGUGGGCCGGGCUGUCGCGGACAGUGGCACCCACGUUCGCCAUGAGUCUUCUCUCGUGGCCGCUGCGCGCAGUACGGACGACAAUACGAGUAAACUACAUGGCGGACACGUCCCUGCCUGUCUGCGAACCUUCCCCGCAGCCUGCACAGCAGCGGGGGGAGCAGCAGCGGCGACGGCAGCACCGCUACACGAGCGCCACCGAGGUGUGGGGAUGCGUUCUUCACCGGAUGGGAGCUCGUAGCCUUCUCUUGAACGGACUCGACGUCGAUCUCGCCAGCCGCGCCUUGUCACUUGGACUCGCGUGGACGGUGGUGAAGCCGGCGUCGCGGUGGAUGCAGCGAUGGGCGAUGAUGAGCACCUCGAACGCUGGUGGAGCGUCAGCGCCGUUGACGCUAGUGCGUCUUGGGCAGCACCGCCUCUUUGCUUUGGGAGUGCUGCUGGCGGUUGCUGGAUCUGUCAACGCGCUGCAGCGUCCGUUUGUCGUUCUUCGACAGCGCAUGGCGUUGCUGCCCGUCGCAGAUGCGGAAAGUGCCUGCAACGGGGGCGAUGACCAGACCAAGACCCCCCCGACCGCGCGCCGCGGAUGCCGCUAUGCGAAUGGAUGGGACUGCGCUGUGCAGGUAUGGCGCCAAGAAGGCGUCGCUGGCUUGCUCGCUGGGUUGCAGCUCUGCUUGAUCACGAGCUCGGUGGUGCCGCUGCUACAGACCCUCGCGGGCUACCCAACCGCCCCAUCCUUUUCAGGUGCUGUGGUGUAGAAAGGAGGGAUGACCAAGGAAGAAGUAAGGGCGGUGCUGUAGCACCAAUAUGUGCGCAAUACGUGCCACGAUUGGCGCGGGCGCCUGCGCUGCUGCUGGAUGGCCGGCCUCCCACCUUUCUUGCCCUUCAGUCUUCUACCCUCCCCCUUCCCCUUUGCUCAAUCACGGCACGGCGGGCUUGACGUGCUGGCCCUGGCGCCACCAGGGGUGCCUCAGCAUUGGCAGGGAUGGGGGCUGCACGUCCUCCUCAGAGAAAGUGACGGUUUUCCUUGCUCUUCAACGUGUCCGUACCAUCGCGAACACGCCAACAAAGAUGCGCGCGCACAACCACAACUCGUCUACCUUGGUUGCGCAACGGCUACGCCAAGGAACCGGACCAACCAACACCGUGUGGCGCCGUUCAGCCCGCUGCAAUGCCACGGCAUACAGCGCAGGGUGGGCCCUGUAUCACGCUCGGCAUCACGACAUCGAAGCUAAAGCCGAAAGACAGCAUGUGCAAGCGCGUGCUUGCUGAAUCGUCGACACGAAUCGUAGUGAGCUCGCACAAACCUGAUCAUCAUUGCAAGUCCCUUCGGCACAGUGCUAGCCCAGACCCGCCCGCUGACACCAAGAACCCGCAGUCGCACCCCAGGCUAGGCGGGGCAGACCUUUGGCAUCCCCACGAAGAGUUGGCACUGGGCCCUGAGAUGCCGCGAUGAGGUGGCUGGCAGCAUAAGUGGCCAGCAAGAACACAUGCAGGAAAACAAAUCCCUAUCAAGAGCGCUGCGGAGCUGAUGGAGCGGCUUGCUGAUCGCCGGUGCACAGCGUGUGAAGCAAGAGCAACGGCCGUAUAAAGUGUGCCGCUGGCUUCCCUUUUUCCUUCCCCCUCCCCACGUAGGCACCGACGGUGGCGCGCACUUUUCAGGUUCCAGCCUUUCUCCCGUUCCGUGGCAUAUGCCACACUUGCGCAGGAGAGCAUUGCCACGCCCAAAUGUGCAAGUGCACCCCACGUCUUUCAGACCUCUCCUCCAUUUCCGACAUCCUCCUCUCGCCACCGCCACCACCACCACGACCCCU